GAAAUGCGAUAAGUAAUGUGAAUUGCAGAAUUCCGUGAAUCAUCGAAUCUUUGAACGCACAUUGCGCCCCCUGGUAUUCCGGGGGGCAUGCCUGUCCGAGCGUCAUUGCAACCCUCAAGCGCGGCUUGUGUGUUGGGCCUCGUCCCCUGUGGACGUGCCCGAAAUGCAGUGGCGGUACCGUGCUCCGGUGCCCGAGCGUAUGGGCUUAUCACCCGCUCUGAGGCCCGGCCGGUGCCUGCCGACUUGGUGAACUUCUUUUCAGGUUGACCUCGGAUCAGGUAGGGAUACCCGCUGAACUUAA
rnacentral:misc_RNA from 1 species